AGUGAACGCUGGCGGUAGGCCUAACACAUGCAAGUCGAACGGCAGCACAGUAAGAGCUUGCUCUUACGGGUGGCGAGUGGCGGACGGGUGAGGAAUACAUCGGAAUCUACUUUUUCGUGGGGGAUAACGUAGGGAAACUUACGCUAAUACCGCAUACGACCUACGGGUGAAAGCAGGGGAUCUUCGGACCUUGCGCGAUUGAAUGAGCCGAUGUCGGAUUAGCUAGUUGGCGGGGGAAAGGCCCACCAAGGCGACGAUCCGUAGCUGGUCUGAGAGGAUGAUCAGCCACACUGGAACUGAGACACGGUCCAGACUCCUACGGGAGGCAGCAGUGGGGAAUAUUGGACAAUGGGCGCAAGCCUGAUCCAGCCAUACCGCGUGGGUGAAGAAGGCCUUCGGGUUGUAAAGCCCUUUUGUUGGGAAAGAAAAGCAGCAGGUUAAUACCCCGCUGUUCUGACGGUACCCAAAGAAUAAGCACCGGCUAACUUCGUG
rnacentral:rRNA from 1 species